rnacentral:rRNA from 1 species
UACGUAGGAUGCGAGCGUUGUCCGGAAUUACUGGGCGUAAAGCGCGUGUAGGCGGGUCUUUAAGUCAGGGGGGAAAUGCCAGGGCUCAACCUUGGAACUGCCUUUGAUACUGGAGACCUUGAGUCCGGGAGAGGUGAGUGGAAUUGCGAGUGUAGAGGUGAAAUUCGUAGAUAUUCGCAAGAACACCAGUGGCGAAGGCGGCUCACUGGCCCGGAACUGACGCUGAGACGCGAAAGCGUGGGGAGCAAACAGG